GUGCUUGUUCAACAGCAUAUAUAUCAAAAUUGGAACAAUCCAGGAAAGAUGAGCAUAGUCCCUGCACAGAGAUGACUGGAAAGUCAUAAAGUGUUCCAUAUGGAA